rnacentral:tRNA from 1 species
GGGAAUAUGGCUUAGUGGUAGAGUACUUGCCUAGCAUGCAUGAGGCCCUGGGUUCAAUUUCUCAAUACCA